rnacentral:rRNA from 1 species
GAUGAACGCUGGCGGCGUGCCUAAUACAUGCAAGUCGAGCGAUGCGGGGACGGGUGAGUACCACUUGGAUAACCUCCUUUAAGACUUGGAUAACUUCGGGAACCCUGAGCUCAACCUGAUACUUAGUCGUAUAUCCUAGCUGCAUUAGCUAGUUGUUAAGGUAACGGCUUACCAAGGCUACGAUGCAUAGCCGACCUGAGAGGGUGAUCGGCCACACUGGAACUGAGACACGGUCCAGACUCCUACGGGAGGCAGCAGUAGGGAAUAUUCGGCAAUGGGCGAAAGCCUGACGGAGCAACGCCGCGUGAGUGAUGAAGGUCUUCGGAUCGUAAAACUCUGUUAUUAGGGAAGCGGUACCUAAUCAGAAAGCCACGGCUAACUACGUGCCAGCAGCCGCGGUAAUAC